rnacentral:rRNA from 1 species
UGCAAGUCGAGCGAACAGAUAAGGAGCUUGCUCCUUUGACGUUAGCGGCGGACGGGUGAGUAACACGUGGAUAACCUACCUAUAAGACUGGGAUAACUUCGGGAAACCGGAGCUAAUACCGGAUAAGAUUUUGAACCGCAUGGUUCAAUAGUGAAAGACGGCCUUGCUGUCACUUAUAGAUGGAUCCGCGCCGUAUUAGCUAGUUGGUAAGGUAACGGCUUACCAAGGCAACGAUACGUAGCCGACCUGAGAGGGUGAUCGGCCACACUGGAACUGAGACACGGUCCAGACUCCUACGGGAGGCAGCAGUAGGGAAUCUUCCGCAAUGGGCGAAAGCCUGACGGAGCAACGCCGCGUGAGUGAUGAAGGUCUUCGGAUCGUAAAACUCUGUUAUCAGGGAAGAACAAACGUGUAAGUAACUGUGCACGUCUUGACGGUACCUGAUCAGAAAGCCACGGCUAACUACGUGCCAGCAGCCGCGGUAAUACGUAGGUGGCAAGCGUUAUCCGGAAUUAUUGGGCGUAAAGCGCGCGUAGGCGGUUUUUUAAGUCUGAUGUGAAAGCCCACGGCUCAACCGUGGAGGGUCAUUGGAAACUGGAAAACUUGAGUGCAGAAGAGGAAAGUGGAAUUCCAUGUGUAGCGGUGAAAUGCGCAGAGAUAUGGAGGAACACCAGUGGCGAAGGCGACUUUCUGGUCUGUAACUGACGCUGAUGUGCGAAAGCGUGGGGAUCAAACAGGAUUAGAUACCCUGGUAGUCCACGCCGUAAACGAUGAGUGCUAAGUGUUAGGGGGUUUCCGCCCCUUAGUGCUGCAGCUAACGCAUUAAGCACUCCGCCUGGGGAGUACGACCGCA